GGUGCUAUACAUGCAAGUCGAGCGGACAGAUGGGAGCUUGCUCCCUGAUGUUAGCGGCGGACGGGUGAGUAACACGUGGGUAACCUGCCUGUAAGACUGGGAUAACUCCGGGAAACCGGGGCUAAUACCGGAUGGUUGUUUGAACCGCAUGGUUCAAACAUAAAAGGUGGCUUCGGCUACCACUUACAGAUGGACCCGCGGCGCAUUAGCUAGUUGGUGAGGUAACGGCUCACCAAGGCAACGAUGCGUAGCCGACCUGAGAGGGUGAUCGGCCACACUGGGACUGAGACACGGCCCAGACUCCUACGGGAGGCAGCAGUAGGGAAUCUUCCGCAAUGGACGAAAGUCUGACGGAGCAACGCCGCGUGAGUGAUGAAGGUUUUCGGAUCGUAAAGCUCUGUUGUUAGGGAAGAACAAGUACCGUUCGAAUAGGGCGGUACCUUGACGGUACCUAACCAGAAAGCCACGGCUAACUACGUGCCAGCAGCCGCGGUAAUACGUAGGUGGCAAGCGUUGUCCGGAAUUAUUGGGCGUAAAGGGCUCGCAGGCGGUUUCUUAAGUCUGAUGUGAAAGCCCCCGGCUCAACCGGGGAGGGUCAUUGGAAACUGGGGAACUUGAGUGCAGAAGAGGAGAGUGGAAUUCCACGUGUAGCGGUGAAAUGCGUAGAGAUGUGGAGGAACACCAGUGGCGAAGGCGACUCUCUGGUCUGUAACUGACGCUGAGGAGCGAAAGC
rnacentral:rRNA from 1 species